GUUCCCUUUGGCGGCACAUAUACUAAAAUUGGAAUGAUACAGGGAAGAUUAGCAUGGCUCCUGAACAAGCAUGACAUGAAAAUUCAUGAAGGGUUUCAUGAAUUU
ensembl:snRNA LOC120099398 U6 spliceosomal RNA